GGCCCUUCGUCACCACUGGCAACACAGACGCCGCUCAGAAGUCGAGCUGCUCCCCAAGCUCACAUGGCGGGGGCCACCAGCAACGAUCUCCAGCAGACACCAAUCGCGUUCUGCUGCUGGAAACCACGGUGUGGACAAACGGGGCAGAGCUGCUCCCAGAGAACACAGAUGUGAGAUACUCUCGUCUCCUCCAGGCUGAGCAGCAGGUCAGCAGAGGUCAGCUAGGGAAGCCCAGUGAAAGUCACCCUCAGCCUGCUUCCAGGGUUCAUCCACUACCAACCACACAGGGCGCUUCCUCCGUGUGAGGGGGACAGCAGCGAGAUGCUCGUGGAACCGGCCUGUUUG